rnacentral:rRNA from 1 species
UGCAACUCGACUCCAUGAAGCUGGAUUCGCUAGUAAUCGCGCAUCAGCCAUGGCGCGGUGAAUACGUUCCCGGGCCUUGUACACACCGCCCGUCAAGCUAUGGAAGCCGGGAGUGCCUGAAGUGUGCAACCGCAAGGAGCGCCCUAAGGUAAAACUGGUGACUGGGGCUAAGUCGUAACAAGGUAUC